rnacentral:rRNA from 1 species
GACGAACGCUGGCGGCGUGCUAAUACAUGCAAGUCGAACGCACGAAGUUGAAGAGCUUGCUCUUUAACCAAGUGAGUGGCGGACGGGUGAGUAACACGUGGGUAACCUGCCCAUUAGAGGGGGAUAACAUUCGGAAACGGAUGCUAAUACCGCAUAGUUUCAGGGAUCGCAUGAUUCUUGAAGGAAAGGUGGCUCCGGCUACCACUAAUGGAUGGACCCGCGGCGUAUUAGCUAGUUGGUGAGGUAAUGGCUCACCAAGGCAAUGAUACGUAGCCGACCUGAGAGGGUGAUCGGCCACACUGGGACUGAGACACGGCCCAGACUCCUACGGGAGGCAGCAGUAGGGAAUCUUCCGCAAUGGACGAAAGUCUGACGGAGCAACGCCGCGUGAGUGAAGAAGGUUUUCGGAUCGUAAAACUCUGUUGUUAAAGAAGAACAAGGAUGAGAGUAACUGCUCAUCCCCUGACGGUAUUUAACCAGAAAGCCACGGCUAACUACGUGCCAGCAGCCGCGGUAAUACGUAGGUGGCAAGCGUUGUCCGGAUUUAUUGGGCGUAAAGCGAGCGCAGGCGGUUCUUUAAGUCUGAUGUGAAAGCCCCCGGCUCAACCGGGGAGGGUCAUUGGAAACUGGAGAACUUGAGUGCAGAAGAGGAGAGUGGAAUUCCACGUGUAGCGGUGAAAUGCGUAGAUAUGUGGAGGAACACCAGUGGCGAAGGCGACUCUCUGGUCUGUAACUGACGCUGAGGCUCGAAAGCGUGGGGAGCAAACAGG